rnacentral:rRNA from 1 species
CCUACGGGAGGCAGCAGUGAGGAAUAUUGGUCAAUGGGAGAGAUCCUGAACCAGCCAAGCCGCGUGAGGGAAGACGGCCCUAUGGGUUGUAAACCUCUUUUGUCGGAGAACAAAACCCGGGACGUGUCCCGGGCUGCGUGUGUCCGAAGAAAAAGCAUCGGCAAACUCCGUGCAAGCAGCCGCGGUAAUACGGAGGAUGCGAGCGUGAUCCGGAUUUAUUGGGUUUAAGGGGUGCGUAGGCGGUCCGUUAAGUCAGCGGUAAAAUUGCGGGGCUCAACCCCGUCGAGCAGUUGAAACUGGCAGACUUGAGUUGGCGAGAGGUACGCGGAAUGCGCGGUGUAGCGGUGAAAUGCAUAGAUAUCGCGAAGAACUCCGAUUGCGAAGGCAGCGGACCGGCGCCAGACUGACGCUGAGGCACGAAAGCGUGGGGAUCGAACAGGAUUAGAUACCCCUGUAGUC